rnacentral:rRNA from 1 species
CAGGCUUAACACAUGCAAGUCCCUUGGCAUCAGGAAGAAAGCUUGCUUUCUUUGCUGGCGACCGGCGCACGGGUGAGUAACACGUAUCCAACCUGCCCUUUACUCGGGGAUAGCCUUUCGAAAGAAAGAUUAAUACCCGAUAGCAUAAUGAUUCCGCAUGGUUUCAUUAUUAAAGGAUUCCGGUAAAGGAUGGGGAUGCGUUCCAUUAGGUUGUUGGUGGGGUAACGGCCCACCAAGCCUUCGAUGGAUAGGGGUUCUGAGAGGAAGGUCCCCCACAUUGGAACUGAGACACGGUCCAAACUCCUACGGGAGGCAGCAGUGAGGAAUAUUGGUCAAUGGGCGCUAGCCUGAACCAGCCAAGUAGCGUGAAGGAUGAAGGCUCUAUGGGUCGUAAACUUCUUUUAUAUAAGAAUAAAGUGCAGUAUGUAUACUGUUUUGUAUGUAUUAUAUGAAUAAGGAUCGGCUAACUCCGUGCCAGCAGCCGCGGUAAUACGGAGGAUCCGAGCGUUAUCCGGAUUUAUUGGGUUUAAAGGGAGCGUAGGUGGACUGGUAAGUCAGUUGUGAAAGUUUGCGGCUCAACCGUAAAAUUGCAGUUGAUACUGUCAGUCUUGAGUACAGUAGAGGUGGGCGGAAUUCGUGGUGUAGCGGUGAAAUGCUUAGAUAUCACGAGGAACUCCGAUUGCGAAGGCAGCUCACUGGACUGCAACUGACACUGAUGCUCGAAAGUGUGGGUAUCAAACAGGAUUAGAUACCCUGGUAGUCCACACAGUAAACGAUGAAUACUCGCUGUUUGCGAUAUACAGUAAGCGGCCAAGCGAAAGCAUUAAGUAUUCCACCUGGGGAGUACGCCGGCAACGGUGAAACUCAAAGGAAUUGACGGGGGCCCGCACAAGCGGAGGAACAUGUGGUUUAAUUCGAUGAUACGCGAGGAACCUUACCCGGGCUUAAAUUGCAGUGGAAUGAUGUGGAAACAUGUCAGUGAGCAAUCACCGCUGUGAAGGUGCUGCAUGGUUGUCGUCAGCUCGUGCCGUGAGGUGUCGGCUUAAGUGCCAUAACGAGCGCAACCCUUAUCUUUAGUUACUAACAGGUCAUGCUGAGGACUCUAGAGAGACUGCCGUCGUAAGAUGUGAGGAAGGUGGGGAUGACGUCAAAUCAGCACGGCCCUUACGUCCGGGGCUACACACGUGUUACAAUGGGGGGUACAGAAGGCAGCUAGCGGGUGACCGUAUGCUAAUCCCAAAAGCCUCUCUCAGUUCGGAUCGAAGUCUGCAACCCGACUUCGUGAAGCUGGAUUCGCUAGUAAUCGCGCAUCAGCCACGGCGCGGUGAAUACGUUCCCGGGCCUUGUACACACCGCCCGUCAAGCCAUGGGAGCCGGGGGUACCUGAAGUACGUAACCGCAAGGAUCGUCCUAGGGUAAAACUGGU